CUCUUGAAUAGGCGGCGUUUCUAUACAUGCAAGUCGAGCGGACAGAAGGGAGCUUGCUCCCGGAUGUUAGCGGCGGACGGGUGAGUAACACGUGGGUAACCUGCCUGUAAGACUGGGAUAACUCCGGGAAACCGGAGCUAAUACCGGAUAGUUCCUUGAACCGCAUGGUUCAAGGAUGAAAGACGGUUUCGGCUGUCACUUACAGAUGGACCCGCGGCGCAUUAGCUAGUUGGUGGGGUAAUGGCUCACCAAGGCGACGAUGCGUAGCCGACCUGAGAGGGUGAUCGGCCACACUGGGACUGAGACACGGCCCAGACUCCUACGGGAGGCAGCAGUAGGGAAUCUUCCGCAAUGGACGAAAGUCUGACGGAGCAACGCCGCGUGAGUGAUGAAGGUUUUCGGAUCGUAAAGCUCUGUUGUUAGGGAAGAACAAGUGCGAGAGUAACUGCUCGCACCUUGACGGUACCUAACCAGAAAGCCACGGCUAACUACGUGCCAGCAGCCGCGGUAAUACGUAGGUGGCAAGCGUUGUCCGGAAUUAUUGGGCGUAAAGGGCUCGCAGGCGGUUUCUUUAGUCUGAUGUGAAAGCCCCCGGCUCAACCGGGGAGGGUCAUUGGAAACUGGGAAACUUGAGUGCAGAAGAGGAGAGUGGAAUUCCACGUGUAGCGGUGAAAUGCGUAGAGAUGUGGAGGAACACCAGUGGCGAAGGCGACUCUCUGGUCUGUAACUGACGCUGAGGAGCGAAAGCGUGGGGAGCGAACAGGAUUAGAUACCCUGGUAGUCCACGCCGUAAACGAUGAGUGCUAAGUGUUAGGGGGUUUCCGCCCCUUAGUGCUGCAGCUAACGCAUU
rnacentral:rRNA from 1 species